rnacentral:rRNA from 1 species
GACGAACGCUGGCGGCGUGCUUAACACAUGCAAGUCGAACGGAAAGGCCUCUUUCGGGGGGUACUCGAGUGGCGAACGGGUGAGUAACACGUGAGUAACCUGCCCUUGACUUUGGGAUAACUUCAGGAAACUGGGGCUAAUACCGGAUAGGAGCUCCUGCUGCAUGGUGGGGGUUGGAAAGUUUCGGCGGUUGGGGAUGGACUCGCGGCUUAUCAGCUUGUUGGUGGGGUAGUGGCUUACCAAGGCUUUGACGGGUAGCCGGCCUGAGAGGGUGACCGGCCACAUUGGGACUGAGAUACGGCCCAGACUCCUACGGGAGGCAGCAGUGGGGAAUAUUGCACAAUGGGUGGAAGCCUGAUGCAGCAACGCCGUGUGCGGGAGGACGGCCUUCGGGUUGUAAACCGCUUUCGCUCAUGACGAAGCUUUGUGUGACAGUAGUGGGUAAAGAAGCACCGGCUAACUACGUG